UGAAAAGGGAGAAUGCAGGGCAUCUCAAGAGAGAGACAGCUUUGAGGGGAAAGAAAGAGCUACAUAUUCAAGAGAAUGUGGGCCAUUUUGAGAGUGAGAAGCACCUGAAAUUAACUUUUAUUGAGCAUAGAAUAUAUGCUACCCUACUGAGUAGGUUCAGUUCAUAGUACAUGCUCUAUAACAAAUAAGUUAUAUUGUCCUUGUAUAGUUCAAUUUUUUAUUAGCAUAGGCUUUAGGUACAGUGGUUCUUAACCUGGAGCAGUCCCCCACUCCCCGACCCCUAGGGAGCAUUUGAUGUUUGGGGACAUUGUAAUCUUUAUUCCUUGUGGCGGCCAUUGCUACUGGCAUCUAAUGGGUAGAUACCAGGGGUGCUAUCAAAAACCCUACAAUACACAGGACAGCCUUCCACAACAAAAAAUUUUCCAGCCCAAAAUGUCAAGAUUGAAAAACCUUGCGAUAGAAUGACAAUAUAAUUUGUUUAACCCAUGUUUUAAAUGUUAAGAAGAUACCGUUAAUAAUUACUUUAGGAAUCAAGAUUUAAACUGGAACUUUCCCAGGUAACUUGGAAUGCUGAAGGAUUCUAAUUAUAAACAAAUUGUUAAGUUCUGUCAAUGACUAGAUGUGAACCUGGGCUAAAUCACUACUUCUGUGUUUCAGCCUCAUUUUCCUCAUUUCUAAAAUGAGGAUAAUUAUAGAAUAGAUAUUAGAGAUUUUUGGGGAAAGUUUUAACAAGAUAAUCUCAAACUUUUUAACACAAUGUUUAUUGAAGUGCUCAAUAAAUGGUUGUUAUUAUUUAUAGUCCUUUUCUUCCACUUCUGUACCCCUUUUUCACAGAUAACAGCUAUUAGACUCAGAACACUUAUCCUAUUGAUUAAAAUAUGAAUGAGAGAUGGC
rnacentral:lncRNA from 1 species